GCCUCCGUGGAUGAGUGGUAAAUCGCCCCGUCAUUUUGAUCUUUGUCAUCAAUCGUAACAGGGAGCUGUGAGUUCAAAUCCCACCGGAGGCG